CUUUAACCCCGAUAGGAGCGGCAUCCUUUUUUUCUAGACCUGACAGGUUUUUAAAACCUGUCAGGUCUAGAAAAAAGAUAUAGCGGAUAGCGGGACGAUGU
rnacentral:sRNA from 1 species